rnacentral:lncRNA from 1 species
AUGUAUGGGAACUCUUGUACUGUUUUUUACAACUCGACUAUAUGUCUAAAAUUAUCUCAAGGUAAAAAGUCAAGAAGAAAAAAGCCAAGACUUUCUCGAGAUCGCACUGGACCAGUCACACCUCAACUUGGGCUGUGUCUCCCGUCCGAAGCAAGUGUUGGCCGUCGAUCUAACGCAGUGUGUGGCCCCCAGCCCAGCAGCAGCCGCAGUACAACCUGGGAACGUGGACAUAUAAUGAAGCUGUCCUUGGAUUUAAGUCAUUACAGAAUGACCCGCCAACAGGAGCUGUGCAUCAAGUAUGGACCACCUUCCUCAAAAUUAUGAGAAUCACCUAGAGAGAUUUAUUUAUGCAGAUUUUCAUCCUUUUCCCAGACCUUCUCAAUCAGAAUCUCUACAGACCAGGGAGGAUGCAUUUCCACCAUCCUCCCACAAAAAUCCAUUUUUCUGUAUAUUCACAUUUGAGAUGCACUGCUUUGUGGGAGGAGGUGGGAGUCGAAGACACGAGAUAGCCUUAAAGAAGAUGCAGAAAAAAAAAUAAAAAUAAUAAAAAAAUAAAAAAUAAAAAAGAAGAUGCAAGACCUGCCUCACAUUUAGUGAGAAGGAUCUCUGGACACCUGAGAUAAUUACAGCAUCGCUUUGUGCAUCCAGGUUGGUUAGGCUGGUGGUCGCAGAGAUGAUCCAAAACCUGCAGGGUGUGCCUGUUCCCCACGAUUUAUUCUGGGCUUUCGCUGACCUGUGCAUGAACCUGGGCACCACCCCACCCACUUGUCUGAGCAUUCACCUCUCCUUUUUUUUUUUUAGAUUUUAUUUAUUUGAGGGUGGGGGGAUAGGGUCACUGAGUGACAGGCACUGAGGAGGACACUUGAUGGGAUGAGUGGUGGGUGUUAGACUGUAUGUUGGUGAAUUGAAUUUAAAUUUUUAAAAAAUGUUUUUAAAAAGGACUUAUUUAUUUGAGAGAGAGAGAGAGAGAGAGAGAGGAGAGAGUAGCGUGCAUGAGCAGGGUAAAAGGCAGAGGGAAAGGAGAAGCAGGCUCCCCACUGAGGGCAGAGCCCAACACAGGGACUCAGUCCCAGGACCCCGGGAUCAUGACCUGAGCUGAAGGCAGACGCUUAACCGACCAAGCCACCCAGGCGCCCCUCACCUCUGCUUUCUCACAGACUCUUGUAAGUCAGUUCAAAUGUCAAUAAAUAUCAAAGCCUGCCCUGGGUGAGCUGUUUGAAAGUACAGAACAAAUCUCAGGGCAGUCCUCGACUUCAGGAACACAGUGAACACUGCAAGAGCACAUUCUAUGGCUGAGGGCUGAAACGAACUAUAAAAAAAUUUCCAGGGCAGCCCGGGUGGCUCAGCAGUUUAGCACCGCCUGCAGCCCGGGGUGUGAUCCUGGAGACCUGGGAUCAAGUCCCGCAUCGGGCUCCCUGCAUGGAGCCUGCUUCUCCCUCUGCCUGUGUCUCUGCGUCUCUAUCUCUGCAUCUCUCAUGAAUAAAUAAAUAUAAAUCAAUCAAUCAAUCUAUCAAUCUUUUAAAAAAAUAAAAUAAAAAUAUUUCCAGGGUGAUCAGGAAGGAAGGGGUGGAAGUGUCUGUGGACUGGGAAAGUCAGGGAGGCCUGCAUGGAAGAGGCUGGCUGGGAGCUAAGACUGGGAGAAUGGAUACAAGAAUUAAAAAGCUCCCUGCUGAAGGCCUCGGUAGGCAAGAAAGGAAGAAGGAAGAUCAAGGAUUCCAAGGAAUGGGGUUGGUGUCUUCCAUUAGAUAUCGAGUGUUUGUGAGCACCUCCCACACCCGAGGGCAGUCAGCAGUGAGAAGCAAGGCCAGUGGGGAGGGGGGGCACAGACUGCUUGCUCCUAGUUUUCUGGAAUUCUGCUUCUCCCUCCUCUAAGGAGUAUCUGCCUUGACUCCUCUCUUUCCUUUACUGGAAUCUCUGGUUCUUUUCUUCCUGGUCACCCUGGGCCCUCUGGGAUAUUCACGAACUGCGAGGACUCUAAACUUCCCCCGAGCUGCUUAAGCCCCACCCAGCAGGAAUGGGGGGCAGCAACCAGCAU